rnacentral:rRNA from 1 species
UACGUAGGGGGCUAGCGUUGUCCGGAUUUAUUGGGCGUAAAGAGCGUGUAGGCGGCCAUGUAGGUCCGGUGUGAAAACUCGAGGCUUAACCUCGAGAUGUCAUCGGAAACCAUUUGGCUAGAGUCCGGAAGAGGCGAGUGGAAUUCCUGGUGUAGCGGUGGAAUGCGCAGAUAUCAGGAGGAACACCAAUAGCGAAGGCAGCUCGCUGGGACGGUACUGACGCUGAGGCGCGAAAGCGUGGGGAGCGAACAGG